GGUGAACGCUGGCGGCGUGCUUAAGACAUGCAAGUCGAACGGGCUCUUCGGAGCCAGUGGCGCACGGGUGAGUAACGCGUAACUGACCUACCCCAAAGUCGCGGAUAACGAUUCGAAAGAAUCGCUAAUACGUGAUGUGCUGUCAGAUCCUGUUCUGCCAGUAAAGAUUUAUUGCUUUGGGAUGGGGUUGCGUUCCAUCAGCUAGUUGGUGGGGUAAAGGCCCACUAAGGCGACGACGGAUCGCCGGCCUGAGAGGGUGGCCGGCCACAGGGGCACUGAGACACGGGUGCCACUCCUACGGGAGGCAGCAGUUAGGAAUCUUCCACAAUGGGCGAAAGCCUGAUGGAGCGACGCCGCGUGAGGGAUGAAGGUCUUCGGAUCGUAAACCUCUGAAUCAGGGACGAAAGACGCGAAAGCGGGAUGACGGUACCUGAGUAAUAGCACCGGCUAACUCCGUG
rnacentral:rRNA from 1 species